rnacentral:rRNA from 1 species
CAGAGUUUGAUCCUGGCUCAGAUUGAACGCUGGCGGCAGGCCUAACACAUGCAAGUCGAGCGGAUGAAGGGAGCUUGCUUCCUGGAUUCAGCGGCGGACGGGUGAGUAAUGCCUAGGAAUCUGCCUGGUAGUGGGGGAUAACGUCCGGAAACGGGCGCUAAUACCGCAUACGUCCUGAGGGAGAAAGUGGGGGAUCUUCGGACCUCACGCUAUCAGAUGAGCCUAGGUCGGAUUAGCUAGUUGGUGGGGUAAAGGCCUACCAAGGCGACGAUCCGUAACUGGUCUGAGAGGAUGAUCAGUCACACUGGAACUGAGACACGGUCCAGACUCCUACGGGAGGCAGCAGUGGGGAAUAUUGGACAAUGGGCGAAAGCCUGAUCCAGCCAUGCCACGUGUGUGAAGAAGGUCUUCGGAUUGUAAAGCACUUUAAGUUGGGAGGAAGGGCAGUAAGUUAAUACCUUGCUGUUUUGACGUUACCAACAGAAUAAGCACCGGCUAACUUCGUGCCAGCAGCCGCGGUAAUACGAAGGGUGCAAGCGUUAAUCGGAAUUACUGGGCGUAAAGCGCGCGUAGGUGGUUCAGCAAGUUGGAUGUGAAAUCCCCGGGCUCAACCUGGGAACUGCAUCCAAAACUACUGAGCUAGAGUACGGUAGAGGGUGGUGGAAUUUCCUGUGUAGCGGUGAAAUGCGUAGAUAUAGGAAGGAACACCAGUGGCGAAGGCGACCACCUGGACUGAUACUGACACUGAGGUGCGAAAGCGUGGGGAGCAAAUAGGAUUAGAUACCCUGGUAGUCCACGCCGUAAACGAUGUCGACUAGCCGUUGGGAUCCUUGAGAUCUUAGUGGCGCAGCUAACGCGAUAAGUCGACCGCCUGGGGAGUACGGCCGCAAGGUUAAAACUCAAAGGAAUUGACGGU